rnacentral:rRNA from 1 species
UACGGGGGGAGCAAGCGUUGUUCGGAUUUACUGGGCGUAAAGGGCGCGUAGGCGGUCAGCACAAGUCAGUUGUGAAAUCUCCGGGCUUAACUCGGAAAGGUCAACUGAUACUGUGCGACUAGAGUGCAGAAGGGGCAACUGGAAUUCUCGGUGUAGCGGUGAAAUGCGCAGAUAUCAGGAAGAACACCAAUGGCGAAAGCAGCUCUCUGGGACGGUACUGACGCUGAGACGCGAAAGCGUGGGGAGCGAACAGG